UAGGUAUUCUUACCUUCCAAUCACAAGAAUGCUGCUGCUGAAGCGCCUGUGGUGCUGCCUGUCCCAGCCUGGGGGAGAGCUGGACCAGUGGCCCCCAGCAUGCCCUGCUCUCAGUUGAACUGCAGUAACACCACUAAAAUCUACACCGAACUUCAGAAGUGGAAAUGGAUCUCUUCAUGGGUAUCGGGAAUAAAAAUGGAGAGAUGACACAAUUAAUGGUGAAUUCUUCUUGGGGAAACGGCUCAACAGAAAUGAGGGACGCUUCUGGAAUGGGAGCGUGCUCUGCCCUGCAGGCCUCAUAGCCCUGAGCAGCCUCUCCUCACUCGCCGUGGAAGGAAGCAUUUGCCAGGUCAGUCUGCAACGCGGCUGUGCUUUCAUCCGUUGUUUGUCUCCUAUUUUAUAAACUGGAUCACACGCACAACAAAUAGCUUCGAUGGGUUUUAUUUCAUCUGCAUACUGAAUAUGCUGUUCCAGAAUAUGGUCAAAAUAGUCGGUGAAGACAGCAAUUUGGGCAAUGCUAACGCCUGCUCCGCUCCCAGGCACAGAAGAACUAUUAAAGCAGUUCUUCAGAGCCGACCUUCCAGGUAAUGUGGGUAACAACACAGCCUGCUGGAGCUGCUGCAGUGCCCUUCGUGUGCCACUGUUGUCUCCGCUGGAAAAAUCUUUACAAAUCUGAGCCUGCAGCAGUUCAGAGCAGAUAACUGAGCCAAGCGUCCCAUGGAUUCUCUUGUAACGAAGGAAUUUACUCCGUGGCAUACAUUAGAUGCAGAAAGGGCUUCAGUGUCAGUGACACUAUUGGCAGCUGUGUUAACAGUUGAGGAGCUGGCUUUGUACGGCAGUACAGUUAUUAAAUUUCUCCAGAGACCAUGACUCAUUAAUCAAAUAUUCAUACAUCUCUGUAAAUACACUCUGAACAGAGAAUACCCUCAGAGCUGAGCAUCCCAGCACAAGUGCUCUUUCAUGUAGCGCUGACAAAAUCCUGAGAACAUGCGGUCAUGUUUUGCAUUUCUAAUGCUGUAUGUGCUCCUUAGUGCCCCGAUUCCUAAAAACAGAACACAAAUGAUCUUACUGAUUGCAUGUGUUACACAGUCACAAUUAAAAUUGCUUCACUAUUGCUUCAUACCAUCUUUUUUAAAGUGAGGACAGUGGAUCGAUUCUUCUGUUCUUUGUUUACCAUCAGACAAGCAACUUUUUCCCAUACGGAUGGAGAAACCCGAGGCCAUGCUCCUAUUAAUACAAGAAUUUGUAUUAGCAUGAAAACAACAAACCACUGCUUGAACUGGGAAGGCCAAAGCACUUCAUAUAUUUGCAAAGACGUGAGCUUGUUGUAUUUAACAAGUGCUGUACUCAGUGUUUCCUCCUGCCACAGAACAGCACAUCUUCUCACCUGCGCUGGAAAGGCCCAAUAGAGCCAAGGGUUUGGCCUCAGUCGGGUUGGGAUUGUGGUUCAUAGAAUCUCUGUGAUCCGCUGAAUCUCUUCUCCAUGAACCUCUGAAAAAGUUCUGUUUUCUCUUUGAACUCCCCAUCCUAAUGCCUUUGUGCCAAGGCCUUUGGUUUUGAUUACCGCGGGAUUAUAAAGUUGUGAUUUCUAUUUCUGUGUAAGGCUCUCCAUGUCUUGAAGCAGCUCGGUGCUGUUAUUUGUAAAUGGGGAUUACCACCUUACUGAGUGUAGAAUUUUAACUUUGGUACUAUAGUGCUGUGCUGCUCCGAUCUCAAAGGAAGAAGGAGACAGAAGGAGCGACUUGAGACUUCAAGUCCAGCCCUGUGGCACACGGCCAGCAGAGUCCCCAC
rnacentral:lncRNA from 7 species